UACGUAGGGACCAAGCGUUGUUCGGAUUUACUGGGCGUAAAGGGCGCGUAGGCGGCUUAACAAGUCACUUGUGAAAUCUCCGGGCUUAACUCGGAACGGCCAAGUGAAACUGUCAAGCUAGAGUGCAGAAGGGGCAAUCGGAAUUCUUGGUGUAGCGGUGGAAUGCGUAGAUAUCAAGAGGAACACCUGAGGUGAAGACGGGUUGCUGGGCUGACACUGACGCUGAGGCGCGAAAGCCAGGGGAGCAAACGGG
rnacentral:rRNA from 1 species